rnacentral:rRNA from 1 species
CGCAUCUGUGCAUGCAGCAUAUCAAUAAGCGGAGGAAAAGAAACUAACAAGGAUUCCCCUAGUAACGGCGAGUGAAGCGGGAAGAGCUCAAAUUUGAAAUCUUAAAGGGUUUCCCUUUACGAAUUGUAGUUUAAAGAAGUGUUUUCUGUUGAGGUUUUGGUAAAAGUUCUUUGGAAUAGGACAUCAUAGAGGGUGAGAAUCCCGUAUUUGACCCUUACUUUCAACUUUGUGAUACACUUUCAAAGAGUCGGAUUGUUUGGGAAUGCAGUCCAAAAUGGGUGGUAAAUUUCAUCUAAAGCUAAAUAUUGGCGAGAGACCGAUAGCGAACAAGUACCGUGAGGGAAAGAUGAAAAGAACUUUGAAAAGAGAGUUAAACAGUACGUGAAAUUGUCAAAAGGGAAGCGUUUGACACCAGUGUUGUUUUUCUGAAAAUCAAUUAAAGAACUGUUUAUGCUAAGCUGUUUAGACUUUAUCAGCUAUCUGUUUAGUUUUGAGCUUUUCUUUAAUGCACUUUUCAGUUAACAAGUCAACAUCAAUUUCUUUUGCUGUAAAAAAGCUUGAGGAAGGUGGCUUGAGAUUCGUCUUAAGUGUUUAUAGCCUCUUGCCUAUGCAGUCGGAGAGAUUGAGGUCUGCAGCGUAGAUCCUUCGGGGCUAAAUGCAUUUGUGCUAAGUUAUAGCAUUUUAUAGACAACUUGUUGACUAUGAUUUGUCUUGUAGCUUACUCGCUUAUGUUAUUUUACCUACGCUUAGGAUGUUGAAUCUGUGCGAGACUAC